CUUGUUAUCCUUGGAAAUUAGAUGGCCCACUGUUGUUUUUCACUUCGUUUGGAUUUGACUUAAGAGGACCGGAGAACGAUGAUUUGGAAUGGAAUCUCGGUCGCCGGUGGAUCAACGGCUAUUCCGAGCAAUGUGCUUGUUCAAAUGCGCAAAAGGAAAACCUAAUUCCAAUGCCAAUUUAUUUGGCUGACGAAGAAUUCAGCAGCAGAAUGGAGGUUAUUUGGUUUGUACCGAACGGUGAAAUUCCCAGCCCCAUUUCAGGCAUUCGAAACAAUAAUUUGUUAUAGUGUCCAUCAUAUUCAUAAUGUCAAGAUCAAGGGUGGAAACAUGUGGUGUUCUUGCUGAGACAGAAAACUACAAGGUUAGUACCACACAUGGGAUUACUUAAUUUCUGUCCUUUAUUAUCUAAUCAAUAGACUAGCGUUGGAAAAAGUUUACCAUGUUAUUUGGGUGAAUGUCACAUCAAUAAUUUUAGGAGAAUUAGAUCU